rnacentral:rRNA from 1 species
CACGUAGGGUGCAAGCGUUGUCCGGAAUCAUUGGGCGUAAAGAGCUCGUAGGCGGCUUAGUAAGUCGGGUGUGAAAACCCCAGGCUCAACCUUGGGACGCCACCCGAUACUGCUAUAGCUAGAGUCCAGUAGGGGAGUGUGGAAUUCCCAGUGUAGCGGUGAAAUGCGCAGAUAUUGGGAGGAACACCAGCGGCGAAGGCGGCACUCUGGGCUGGUACUGACGCUGAGGAGCGAAAGCGUGGGUAGCGAACAGG